CCUACGGGGGGCAGCAGUAGGGAAUCUUUCACAAUGGGCGAAAGCCUGAUGGAGCAACGCCGCGUGCAGGAUGAAGGCCUUCGGGUUGUAAACUGCUUUUAUCAGCGAGAAAUAUGAUGGUAACUUAUGAAUAAGGAUCGGCUCACUACGUGCCAGCAGCCGCGGUCAUACGUAGGAUCCGAGCAUUAUCCGGAGUGACUGGGUGUAAAGAGUUGCGUAGGUGGCAUAAUAAGUAGCUAGUGAAAGCUGGUGGCUCAACCAUUCAGACUAUUAGCUAAACUGUUAAGCUCGAGACCGUUAGGGGUAACUGGAAUUUCUAGUGUAGGAGUGAAAUCCGUAGAUAUUAGAAGGAACACCAAUAGCGUAGGCAGGUUGCUGGGACGGUUCUGACACUAAGGCACGAAAGCGUAGGGAGCAAACGGGAUUAGAUACCCGGGUAGUC
rnacentral:rRNA from 1 species